GAUGAACGCUAGCUACAGGCUUAACACAUGCAAGUCGAGGGGCAGCAUGGUCUUAGCUUGCUAAGGCCGAUGGCGACCGGCGCACGGGUGAGUAACACGUAUCCAACCUGCCGUCUACUCUUGGACAGCCUUCUGAAAGGAAGAUUAAUACAAGAUGGCAUCAUGAGUCCACAUGUUCACAUGAUUAAAGGUAUUCCGGUAGACGAUGGGGAUGCGUUCCAUUAGAUAGUAGGCGGGGUAACGGCCCACCUAGUCUUCGAUGGAUAGGGGUUCUGAGAGGAAGGUCCCCCACAUUGGAACUGAGACACGGUCCAAACUCCUACGGGAGGCAGCAGUGAGGAAUAUUGGUCAAUGGGCGAGAGCCUGAACCAGCCAAGUAGCGUGAAGGAUGACUGCCCUAUGGGUUGUAAACUUCUUUUAUAAAGGAAUAAAGUCGGGUAUGGAUACCCGUUUGCAUGUACUUUAUGAAUAAGGAUCGGCUAACUCCGUGCCAGCAGCCGCGGUAAUACGGAGGAUCCGAGCGUUAUCCGGAUUUAUUGGGUUUAAAGGGAGCGUAGAUGGAUGUUUAAGUCAGUUGUGAAAGUUUGCGGCUCAACCGUAAAAUUGCAGUUGAUACUGGAUAUCUUGAGUGCAGUUGAGGCAGGCGGAAUUCGUGGUGUAGCGGUGAAAUGCUUAGAUAUCACGAAGAACUCCGAUUGCGAAGGCAGCCUGCUAAGCUGCAACUGACAUUGAGGCUCGAAAGUGUGGGUAUCAAACAGGAUUAGAUACCCUGGUAGUCCACACGGUAAACGAUGAAUACUCGCUGUUUGCGAUAUACAGCAAGCGGCCAAGCGAAAGCGUUAAGUAUUCCACCUGGGGAGUACGCCGGCAACGGUGAAACUCAAAGGAAUUGACGGGGGCCCGCACAAGCGGAGGAACAUGUGGUUUAAUUCGAUGAUACGCGAGGAACCUUACCCGGGCUUAAAUUGCAGAUGAAUUACGGUGAAAGCCGUAAGCCGCAAGGCAUCUGUGAAGGUGCUGCAUGGUUGUCGUCAGCUCGUGCCGUGAGGUGUCGGCUUAAGUGCCAUAACGAGCGCAACCCUUGUUGUCAGUUACUAACAGGUUCCGCUGAGGACUCUGACAAGGCUGCCAUCGUAAGAUGUGAGGAAGGUGGGGAUGACGUCAAAUCAGCACGGCCCUUACGUCCGGGGCUACACACGUGUUACAAUGGGGGGUACAGAGGGCCGCUACCACGCGAGUGGAUGCCAAUCCCAAAAACCUCUCUCAGUUCGGACUGGAGUCUGCAACCCGACUCCACGAAGCUGGAUUCGCUAGUAAUCGCGCAUCAGCCACGGCGCGGUGAAUACGUUCCCGGGCCU
rnacentral:rRNA from 1 species